AUUGAACGCUGGCGGCAGGCCUAACACCUGCAAGUCGGGCGAGCGGAGGACGGGUGGGUAAUGUAGAGGGAUUGCCUGAUGGAGGGGGAUAACGACGGGAACCGGUAGCUACUGCCGCCGACAAUCAGAUGACCAAUAUGGGAUUAGCUUGUAGGUGAGGUAAAGGCUCACCUAGGGGACGAUCCCUAGCUGGUCUGAGAGGAUGAUCAGCCACACGGGGACUGAGACACGGCCCAGACUCCUACGGAGGCAGCAGUGGGGAAUAUUGCACAAUGGGCGCAAGCCUGAUACAGCCAUGCCGCGUGUAUGAAGAAGGCCUUCGGGUUGUAAAGUACUUUCAGUCGGGAGGCGUUACCGACAGAAGAAGCACCGGCUAACUCCGUGCCAGCAGCCGCGGUAAUAC
rnacentral:rRNA from 1 species